rnacentral:lncRNA from 1 species
GAAAAUCGGAGUCUUUUUAUAAUUACCAUUAUGACUAUUUUACCAGCGUGGAAUUUAUAAUUACCAUUAUGACUAUUUUACCCAUAGUGAGUAAGUCUAUUUACAACUGUUUUAUCAAACAAUUCGACAGUUUUACCCUCACAAACAAAGGAAAAUUACAAGCCCACGCAAUCGACAAAAUCUUCAUAACAAAGCUAUCAAAAGUUAUACAAGAAACGGUUCAUCUAUACAAGCGCGCAAAAUUACAGGUCCUUUAAUCCUUUAUUCAUACACAGACGGUUCUAAUUAAAAACCAUUAACGUUGCAUCCUCUGCCAUGCAACAUUAAUAUUUACUAUUUUAUUCUCUCCUCAGUCAACCCUCCAUAAACCAGAACGUUAACAUUAUUUUCAGAUGUUACCAUUGAUAUUUUCAAGCAUCGGCAGCCUUCCCAGCAGGUGCUGCCAUGGAACCGGCAAUUGCUUUGGUAUGUUUAGUUCGUGAUCUUUUGGAGCAGGCGUAGCUGAUGCUUGAAAAGAUCCUCAUGCUUGGAAUUUUGCAGCAGCCUUGGUUUAGGCCUUGAUAACUUCACCAGAAACAACCUUGAAAACCAUAUCUAAAA